AUUGAACGCUGGCGGCAUGCCUUACACAUGCAAGUCGAACGGCAGCACGGGUGCUUGCACCUGGUGGCGAGUGGCGAACGGGUGAGUAAUACAUCGGAACAUGUCCUGUAGUGGGGGAUAGCCCGGCGAAAGCCGGAUUAAUACCGCAUACGAUCUACGGAUGAAAGCGGGGGACCUUCGGGCCUCGCGCUAUAGGGUUGGCCGAUGGCUGAUUAGCUAGUUGGUGGGGUAAAGGCCAACCAAGGCGACGAUCAGUAGCUGGUCUGAGAGGACGACCAGCCACACUGGGACUGAGACACGGCCCAGACUCCUACGGGAGGCAGCAGUGGGGAAUUUUGGACAAUGGGCGAAAGCCUGAUCCAGCAAUGCCGCGUGUGUGAAGAAGGCCUUCGGGUUGUAAAGCACUUUUGUCCGGAAAGAAAUCCUUGGCCCUAAUACGGUCGGGGGAUGACGGUACCGGAAGAAUAAGCACCGGCUAACUACGU
rnacentral:rRNA from 1 species